rnacentral:rRNA from 1 species
UGGGGAAUUUUGGACAAUGGGCGAAAGCCUGAUCCAGCAAUGCCGCGUGUGUGAAGAAGGCCUUCGGGUUGUAAAGCACUUUUGCCCGGAAAGAAAUCCUCUGGGUUAAUACCUCGGGGGGAUGACGGUACCGGAAGAAUAAGCACCGGCUAACUACGUGCCAGCAGCCGCGGUAAUACGUAGGGUGCAAGCGUUAAUCGGAAUUACUGGGCGUAAAGCGUGCGCAGGCGGUUUUGUAAGACGGAUGUGAAAUCCCCGGGCUUAACCUGGGAACUGCAUUCGUGACUGCAAGGCUAGAGUAUGGCAGAGGGGGGUAGAAUUCCACGUGUAGCAGUGAAAUGCGUAGAGAUGUGGAGGAAUACCGAUGGCGAAGGCAGCCCCCUGGGCCAAUACUGACGCUCAUGCACGAAAGCGUGGGGAGCAAACAGGAUUAGAUACCCUGGUAGUCCACGCCCUAAACGAUGUCAACUAGUUGUUGGGGAUUCAUUUCCUUAGUAACGUAGCUAACGCGUGAAGUUGACCGCCUGGGGAGUACGGUCGCAAGAUUAAAACUCAAAUGAAUUGACGGGGUCAUAGCUGUUUCCU